AUCAUCUGGAAAUCUUGUUAAAAUGCAGAUUACGAUUCAGUAGGUCUGGGAUGCGGGCCUAACAUUCUGCCUUUCUAACAAGCUCCCAGGUGAUGCUCU
rnacentral:pre_miRNA from 1 species